rnacentral:rRNA from 1 species
AACGAACGCUGGCGGCAGGCCUAACUCAUGCAAGUCGAACGCUGUAGCAAUACAGAGUGGCAGACGGGUGAGUAACGCGUGGGAACGUGCCCUUCGGUUCGGGAUAACUCAGGGAAACUUGAGCUAAUACCGGAUACGCCCUUUGGGGGAAAGAUUUAUUGCCGAAGGAUCGGCCCGCGUCCGAUUAGCUAGUUGGUGAGGUAAAGGCUCACCAAGGCGACGAUCGGUAGCUGGUCUGAGAGGAUGAUCAGCCACACUGGGACUGAGACACGGCCCAGACUCCUACGGGAGGCAGCAGUGGGGAAUAUUGGACAAUGGGCGCAAGCCUGAUCCAGCCAUGCCGCGUGAGUGAUGAAGGCCCUAGGGUUGUAAAGCUCUUUCGCCAGGGACGAUAAUGACGGUACCUGGAUAAGAAGCCCCGGCUAACUUCGUGCCAGCAGCCGCCGUAA